rnacentral:rRNA from 1 species
UUAAAACUCAAAUGAAUUGACGGGGGCCCGCACAAGCGGUGGAGCAUGUGGUUUAAUUCGAUGCAACGCGAAGAACCUUACCUGGUCUUGACAUCCACGGAAGUUUUCAGAGAUGAGAAUGUGCCUUCGGGAACCGUGAGACAGGUGCUGCAUGGCUGUCGUCAGCUCGUGUUGUGAAAUGUUGGGUUAAGUCCCGCAACGAGCGCAACCCUUAUCCUUUGUUGCCAGCGGUCCGGCCGGGAACUCAAAGGAGACUGCCAGUGAUAAACUGGAGGAAGGUGGGGAUGACGUCAAGUCAUCAUGGCCCUUACGACCAGGGCUACACACGUGCUACAAUGGCGCAUACAAAGAGAAGCGACCUCGCGAGAGCAAGCGGACCUCAUAAAGUGCGUCGUAGUCCGGAUUGGAGUCUGCAACUCGACUCCAUGAAGUCGGAAUCGCUAGUAAUCGUGGAUCAGAAUGCCACGGUGAAUACGUUCCCGGGCCUUGUACACACCGCCCGUCACACCAUGGGAGUGGGUUGCAAAAGAAGUAGGUAGCUUAACCUUCGGGAGGGCGCUUACCACUUUGUGAUUCAUGACUGGGGUGAAGUCGUAACAAGGUAACCGUAGGGGAACCUGCGGUUGGAUC